CCUGGCUCUGACGACGCGAUUCUGUUUCAACGACUCCGCCUCUGACGCUGUGAUUCUGAUCUGCCCAGGUAACAAGCAUCGACAAGUCGGUCUCCGGCGGGACCAAGGUGGCGGAGGUGCAGAUCACGACGCUGAUCGAGCUGCUCAUGCGGCACGCCGUGAAGCUGGAGACCAUCCCCGCCGACGGGGACUCCUCCUCGCAGAAGAACAUCCAGGCGAAGAGGGUGCAGAAGUGCGUGGAGGCGCUGGACGUGCUCAAGGUGUCCAACGCGAGGCUGCAGCAGCGGGCGGCGGUGGUGGUGACGACGAAAUGGGAGACGUUCGACAACGCUCCCCCUGUGACGACGAAGUGGGAGAUCUUCGACUGAAGCUGAAGCAACCGCAGCAAUGUGGAACAGAGCAGCAGAGAGUUAUAUAGAGUGCUCAUUUCAUAUACAGAUUUGGUGUCCGUCCCCCUUGCCUGUUAUUCAUUUUGCAAUAGCGGUGAGUUGAGCUUGUUUUAGGUUAGGUUGCAGUUGCGUAAGGACAGGAUCCCACCAUUUGUUUUGUUUGUAAUCAUCGUCAGUCACACCGACCCACCCGAUUGAUGGAUCUCACUCCAAUAAACAGAAAGCAGCGCUGUUCUUUAGUGUA